UGAGAGCCCAGAAAUACAAUCAACGGAGAAAGCAUGAGCAAUGGGUAAAUGAAGACAGACAUUAUAUGAAAAGGAAAGAAGCAAAUGCUUUUGAAGAACAGCUAUUAAAACAGAAAAUGGAUGAACUUCAUAAGAAGUUGCAUCAGGUGGUGGAGACAUCCCAUGAGGAUCUGCCCGCUUCCCAGGAAAGGUCCGAGAAUGCUUGAAGAAGGAGUAUGGGGAAACUUCAAGGAAAAAGGAAUCCAUUGAAGACAGAUGCCAUGCUUUGAGAAGAUGUAAUGCCUGAUUAGUAGUAUUCUGGACUUCAUGGUUUUGUUUUUGUUGUUUGUUUGUUUAAUAUGAAAGGUUAAUCCAGCACGUAUGGGGCCAAGUGUAGGCUCCCAGCAGGAACUGAGAGCGCCAUGUCUUCCAGUAACCUAUCAGCAGACACCAGUGAACAUGGAAAAGAACCCAAGAGAGGCACCUCCUGUUGUUCCUCCUUUGGCAAAUGCUAUUUCUGCAGCUUUGGUGUCCCCAGCCACCAGCCAGAGCAUUGCUCCUCCUGUUCCUUUGAAAGCCCAGACAGUAACAGACUCCAUGUUUGCAGUGGCCAGCAAAGAUGCUGGGUAAGCUGAAGGUAGUCCUAGAGAUCACAGUGAUGUGAGUGGCACCUGUCACCUUCUUUACAUGACCUGCAUUAUCAGGAACAGUAUGUAAAAGAUGAAUGAUGUCUGCCUUUUAUUUUUAGAUAGGUAUGUUGUUGAAAAAGCAAGUGGCAAAACAUUGCUCCCAAUCCUUUAGGCUUACUUAUUCCAUGCUUCUUUUAGAAUAUUUAUUUUAUACUUUCGUGAA
rnacentral:lncRNA from 10 species